GACGAACGCUGGCGGCGUGCUUAACACAUGCAAGUCGAACGGAAAUGCCCUGCUUUUUUUGGGGGCUCGGGUGGCGAACUGGUAAGUACCAAGGGAGUAACCUCCCCUUAACUUUCGGCUAAAUUCAGGAAACUAGGGCUAAUAAAGGACGAGUACUCCUGCUUCAGGGUGCAGGAUGGAAAGUUUCGGCGGUUGGGGAAGUAUCCGUGGCUUAUCAGCUUGUUGGUGGGGUAGUGGCUGAGCCAGGCUAUGACGGGUAGCGGGGCUGAGAGGGUGAGCGGCCACAUUGGGACUGAGAUGCGGCCCAGACUCCUACGGGAGGGAGCGGAGGAGAAGAGUGCACAAUAGGAGGAAGCCUAACGCAGUAACGCGGCGUGCGGGAUGACGGGAAUCGGGUUGUAAACCAAUUCCGCCUGUGACGAAGCGUGAGUGACGGUAAUAGGUAAAGAAGCACCGGCUAAAUACGUG
rnacentral:rRNA from 1 species